CAGCAGCCACGGUAAUGCGAAGGGUGCAAGCGUUACUCGGAAUUACUGGGCGUAAAGCGUGCGUAGGUGGUGGUUUAAGUCCGUUGUGAAAGCCCUGGGCUCAACCUGGGAAUUGCAGUGGAUACUGGAUCACUAGAGUGUGGUAGAGGAUAGUGGAAUUUCCGGUGUAGCAGUGAAAUGCGUAGAGAUCGGAAGGAACAUCUGUGGCGAAGGCGACUAUCUGGGCCAACACUGACACUGAGGCACGAAAGCGUGGGGAGCAAACAGGAUUAGAUACCCGUGUAGUCCCUGUCUCUUAUAC
rnacentral:rRNA from 1 species